CAGCAGGCGCGAAAACUCUACAAUGCAGGCAACUGCGAUAGGGGAACAUCGAGUGAUCCUCAUAUUGGGGGUCUGUCCACUCGCCUAAAAAGUGGGUGUUAGCAAGGGCCGGGCAAGACCGGUGCCAGCCGCCGCGGUAAUACCGGCGGCUCGAGUGGUGGCCGAUAUUAUUGAGUCUAAAGGGUCCGUAGCCGGCUUUGCAAGUCUCUCGGGAAAUCCAGCGGCUUAACCGUUGGUCGUCCGGGGGGUACUACAUUGCUUGGGACUGGGAGAGGUAGGAGGUACUCAGGGGGUAGGAGUGAAAUCCUGUAAUCCUUUGGGGACCACCGGUGGCGAAGGCGUCCUACCAGAACAGGUCCGACGGUGAGGGACGAAAGCUAGGGGCACGAACCGGAUUAGAUACCCGGGUAGUCCUAGCCGUAAACGAUGCUCGCUAGGUGUCACAACAGUCGUGAACUGUUGUGGUGCCGUAGGGAAGCCGUGAAGCGAGCCACUUGGGAAGUACGACCGCAAGGUUGAAACUUAAAGGAAUUGGCGGGGGAGCACAAGGGCGAUUCGCG
rnacentral:rRNA from 1 species